UACGAAGGGGGCUAGCGUUGUUCGGAAUUACUGGGCGUAAAGCGCGCGCAGGCGGUCUUCCAAGUCAGUGGUGAAAGCCCGGAGCUCAACUCCGGAACUGCCAUUGAAACUGUGAGACUUGAGGAUGAGAGAGGUGAGUGGAAUUCCCAGUGUAGAGGUGAAAUUCGUAGAUAUUGGGAAGAACACCGGUGGCGAAGGCGGCUCACUGGCUCAUUUCUGACGCUCAGGCGCGACAGCGUGGGGAUCGAAACAGG
rnacentral:rRNA from 1 species